UGGGGAAUAUUGGACAAUGGGCGCAAGCCUGAUCCAGCCAUGCCGCGUGAGUGACGAAGGCCUUAGGGUUGUAAAGCUCUUUUGGCGGGGACGAUAAUGACGGUACCCGCAGAAUAAGCUCCGGCUAACUUCGUGCCAGCAGCCGCGGUAAUACGAAGGGAGCUAGCGUUGUUCGGAAUCACUGGGCGUAAAGCGCACGUAGGCGGAUUAUUAAGUCAGGGGUGAAAUCCCGGGGCUCAACCUCGGAACUGCCUCUGAUACUGAUAGUCUCGAGUCCGGAAGAGGUGGGUGGAAUUCCUAGUGUAGAGGUGAAAUUCGUAGAUAUUAGGAAGAACACCGGUGGCGAAGGCGGCCCACUGGUCCGGUACUGACGCUGAGGUGCGAAAGCGUGGGGAGCAAACAGGAUUAGAUACCCUAGUAGUCCCUGAGCGGGCUGGCAAGGCGCAU
rnacentral:rRNA from 1 species